rnacentral:misc_RNA from 1 species
GAGGCAGGUGAGUCAUCGAAUCUUUGAACGCACAUUGCGCCCUCUGGCAUUCCGGGGGGCAUGCCCGUUCGAGCGUCAUUAAAUCCAAUCAAGCCUGGCUUGGUGUUGGGCGGCGGGACUCCCCCGCGCCCCAAUUUCACCGGCUGGCCGUCGCCCGUCUUAGCGUUGUGACACACUUUUCGCUGGCGAUGGGAGCGGACCACGCCGUCAGAACCCAUGAAUUUCAAUCGAAAUUCGAUUAGGUUGACCUCGGAUCGGGUAGGAAUACCCGCUGAACUUAAGCAUAUCAAUAAGCGGAGG